CUGGGAAGAAAGAGGCUAUAACUCAAACAAAUCUCUUCCAUAAUAGCGAUGUGAAUACUAAACAUUACUGGCCAAGUAAAUUGCUUUUUGUGUAAGAAACUGCUACUUCAAGAUUCCAAUGUAGACUUACAGCCAAGCCCCUCUCUAGGAAACUAGAGAGGACUCUAGCACUAGAUUGGGACUGCUGAGACAUUGAUAGAGUCAACAACUAUGACAUCUUCAUCAGGAGACACUCAUUGCUGGACUACUUGGACCACAGCCUCCAGCUCUCUACAUCAUCUGAGAUCCUAGAGAGACACCGCCACUCAGCUGCCAGUUUGAAGUCCCUGGUAAAGUCACGAGUUUUACCAAAAACGGCAUGCCAUAAACCAAUUUAAUUCAAGGUAACCCAAGCUGCUGGAUGAAAAGGAGCUCAAGAAAUGAACAGAAGGAAGAAAACGCAAACGUUUCAAGUUACACAGGAUCCUCAUCACAGUGAAAUGAGCACAAAUUAACAGACCAAGGGUUCCCAGGACCGAUGAGAACCAGUUUCCUACUACAGACUUGAUUUAUGCACUAGCAUCAGAAUGGCACCUGUAACUGAGAGCUGCAGUCUGGAUUUCACCUAACUCCACGGCAGAG